rnacentral:rRNA from 1 species
GGGACACGUGGUAUCCUGUCUGAAUAUGGGGGGACCAUCCUCCAAGGCUAAAUACUCCUGACUGACCGAUAGUGAACCAGUACCGUGAGGGAAAGGCGAAAAGAACCCCGGCGAGGGGAGUGAAACAGAACCUGAAACCGUGUACGUACAAGCAGUGGGAGCACAGGUUUACCUGUGUGACUGCGUACCUUUUGUAUAAUGGGUCAGCGACUUAUAUUCUGUAGCAAGGUUAACCGCAUAGGGGAGCCGAAGGGAAACCGAGUCUUAAUUGGGCGUUAAGUUGCAGGGUAUAGACCCGAAACCCGGUGAUCUAGCCAUGGGCAGGUUGAAGGUUGGGUAACACUAACUGGAGGACCGAACCGACUAAUGUUGAAAAAUUAGCGGAUGACCUGUGGCUGGGGGUGAAAGGCCAAUCAAACCGGGAGAUAGCUGGUUCUCCCCGAAAGCU